CAAGUCGAGGGGCAGCAUGAACUUAGCUUGCUAAGUUUGAUGGCGACCGGCGCACGGGUGAGUAACACGUGUGCAACCAACCCCGUACCGGGAGAUAACCCGCGGAAACGUGGACUAACAUCCCAUGAUACUCGAGAGCCGCAUGGCUCUAGAUUUAAAAUUCCGGUGGUACGGGACGGGCACGCGCGACAUUAGGUAGUUGGCGGGGUAAGGGCCCACCAAGCCGACGAUGUCUAGGGGUUCUGAGAGGAAGGUCCCCACACUGGAACUGAGACACGGUCCAGACUCC
rnacentral:rRNA from 1 species